UUGUUUCUUCAAGGGAUCUGAGGAGACGCCAGAGGUGGAGGCAACAGCUGUAGGAGCAGAGGUGGCAGCUGAGCUGAGGCUUUUCUGCUGCUUCUUCUGCUGCUCCCAGUAGUUCAGCUUCCUCUCCGGAGGCGGGCUGUCUGGUAAUAAGAAUGUUGUGGAGGAUGAGGAAGCACUUGAUGAGUCCAUCUCCGCGUUACGAAUGACGAUUUUUUAGAAACAAUACUCAAGCGUAUAGCUCUAACGUGAAUGAUGAUUUUCCUCUGAGAAAAGUGAUUAUAUAGCAAGUCGUUUCUCUGUCUGUUGCAGGCUUGUACGAGUGAGAUAGAAACACAUAGGAGGCGUGUCACAAUUGGCGAACACUGCCAAUACUCCCCAGAGGUUUAGCUCGACGAUAACAUUUGAUUCAUUUUCUCACCUCACAACUCGGUCUCAUAAGCAGUUGUGCUCUCGUGAGGGAAACUUACCUGCAUCGAGAAAAUCAUAGCCGAGGAGCUAGCUGAGUUGAGACAAUACCUGAACCGAGUCGAGGAGCUGAGAGAAGCAUAUCCGAUUAUUUCAUUUCGUCAAAUCAACACAUAAAAAAUGGCGAGAAUACAAAGUUAUCGUUGUGAACUAACUGAACUAUUGGAGACGCAUCACCAAUUAUUGGACCAGUUAGCAGAAAAAGGAUGGACAAAUCUACAAUAUUUAACUUUUGUGAGAGAUUAUGAAA
rnacentral:lncRNA from 1 species